CUCCGGUUCUUGAAGUUUCACAAUAAAUGGUGGAGAAAAUGCGGGCAGGCUCGAAAUCUCAGAGGCAACCCAUCCAGAUUGAUAGCUGGGGGAUGAAUGAAACAGAUGCCACUGAGCACGGCAUCAGAAUGCAAUGCUGUCACCAAGCAACCAAAGAGAUGCCCACAAUAGCUUGCAACAGUUGUCCCCACGGAAACCCAUGUAUAUCUCUAAUUAAUAACAUAACAUAAGGAUAUAAAUAAAACAAAGGAUGAAGUAA